rnacentral:misc_RNA from 1 species
AGCAGAGACUAGGAGGCCAUUCCGUGCUUUACUUGAUGUUGGGCUGGUUAGAACCACAACUGGAAAUCGUGUUUUUGGUGCUCUCAAGGGAGCUCUAGAUGGUGGUUUGGAUAUCCCUCACAGUGAUAAGAGGUUUGCUGGCUUUUCAAAGGACAGCAAGCAGCUUGAUGCUGAAGUUCACCGCAAGUAUAUCUAUGGUGCUCAUCCUCCAUCAACAUCCUCAUAUAUGCAGCAACAUGACCACCA